CAGUCGCCGCGGUAAUACGUAGGUGGCAAGCAUUGUCCGGAAUUAUUGGGCGUAAAGGGCUCGCAGGCGGUUUCUUAAGUCUGAUGUGAAAGCCCCCGGCUCAACCGGGGAGGGUCAUUGGAAACUGGGAAACUUGAGUGCAGAAGAGGAGAGUGGAAUUCCACGUGUAGCGGUGAAAUGCGUAGAGAUGUGGAGGAACACCAGUGGCGAAGGCGACUCUCUGGUCUGUAACUGACGCUGAGGAGCGAAAGCGUGGGGAGCGAACAGGAUUAGAUACCCCAGUAGUCCCUGUCUCUUAUAC
rnacentral:rRNA from 1 species